GGGGAUUUAGCUCAGCGGUAGGGCGCUUGCCUAGCAAGCACAAGACCCUGGGUUCGGUCCCCAGCUCCG
rnacentral:tRNA from 1 species